GGUUUACCUGUGUGACUGCGUACCUUUUGUAUAAUGGGUCAGCGACUUAUAUUCUGUAGCAAGGUUAACCGAAUAGGGGAGCCGGAGGGAAACCGAGUCUUAAUUGGGCGUUAAGUUGCAGGGUAUAGACCCGAAACCCGGUGAUCUAGCCAUGGGCAGGUUGAAGGUUGGGUAACACUAACUGGAGGACCGAACCGACUAAUGUUGAAAAAUUAGCGGAUGACCUGUGGCUGGGGGUGAAAGGCCAAUCAAACCGGGAGAUAGCUGGUUCUCCCCGAAAGCUAUUUAGGUAGCGCCUCGUGAAUUCAUCUCCGGGGGUAGAGCACUGUUUCGGCUAGGGGGCCAUCCCGGCUUACCAACCCGAUGCAAACUGCGAAUACCGGAGAAUGUUAUCACGGGAGACACACGGCGGGUGCUAACGUCCGUCGUGAAGAGGGAAACAACCCAGACCGCCAGCUAAGGUCCCAAAGUCAUGGUUAAGUGGGAAACGAUGUGGGAAGGCCCAGACAGCCAGGAUGUUGGCUUAGAAGCAGCCAUCAUUUAAAGAAAGCGUAAUAGCUCACUGGUCGAGUCGGCCUGCGCGGAAGAUGUAACGGGGCUAAACCAUGCACCGAAGCUGCGGCAGCGAACGUAUCACUUAAAGCGAUUCAGCGGGUUACGAUUGACGGAGCGAAGCGACGUCAAAGCGUAUACAAAGUCGAGUCGGUUUAAGGAUACGUUCGUUGGGUAGGGGAGCGUUCUGUAAGCCUGUGAAGGUGGCCUGUGAGGGUUGCUGGAGGUAUCAGAAGUGCGAAUGCU
rnacentral:rRNA from 1 species